rnacentral:rRNA from 1 species
AAUGGGCGAAAGCCUGACGGAGCAAUACCGCGUGAGGGAGGAAGGCUCUUGGGUCGUAAACCUCUUUUAUCAGGGAAGAACACAAUGACGGUACCUGAUGAAUCAGCAUCGGCUAACUCCGUGCCAGCAGCCGCGGUAAUACGGAGGAUGCAAGCGUUAUCCGGAAUUAUUGGGCGUAAAGCGUCCGCAGGUGGUUUUGAAAGUUUGCUGUCAAAGCGCGAGGCUCAACUUCGUAACGGCGGUGAAAACUUCAAGACUAGAGCUAGGUAGGGGUCACGGGAAUUCCCAGUGUAGCGGUGAAAUGCGUAGAUAUUGGGAAGAACACCAGCGGCGAAAGCGCGUGACUGGGCCUGAGCUGACACUCAUGGACGAAAGCUAGGGGAGCGAAAGGGAUUAGAUACCCC